rnacentral:rRNA from 1 species
GACGAACGCUGGCGGCGUGCCUAACACAUGCAAGUCGAGCGAUCUUCUUCGGAAGAGAGCGGCGGACGGGUGAGUAACGCGUGGGUAACCUGCCCUGUACACACGGAUAACAUACCGAAAGGUAUGCUAAUACGAGAUAAUAUGCUUUUAUCGCAUGGUAGAAGUAUCAAAGCUUUUGCGGUACAGGAUGGACCCGCGUCUGAUUAGCUAGUUGGUAAGGUAACGGCUUACCAAGGCGACGAUCAGUAGCCGACCUGAGAGGGUGAUCGGCCACAUUGGAACUGAGACACGGUCCAAACUCCUACGGGAGGCAGCAGUGGGGAAUAUUGCACAUGGGCGAAAGCCUGAUGCAGCAACGCCGCGUGAGCGAUGAAGGCCUUCGGGUCGUAAAGCUCUGUCCUCAAGGAAGAUAAUGACGGUACUUGAGGAGGAAGCCCCGGCUAACUACGUGCCAGCCGCCGCGGUAA